rnacentral:rRNA from 1 species
AUGCAUGCGACAACCACAAAAGAGCAUGAAUUUAUUGAUAUAUCCAGUAAACACAAAGAGGUUAUGGAUGUUAGCAGACACGCCGUCGCCCAAGAAUCUUGCACAGACCAUGAAGAAAAGAAUCCACCAGUAGAACCAGAUCAACCACCACCAGACGACAAGAUACCACACCAUGCUGAAGAGCAAACGGACGAGCAAAAUAUCAACAGCAAUACCCCGACCACAGAGCAACUUGAACAAACAGGCAUUGACUUAAAAGAGGAUGGCACAAGCAACGACGUACCAAAUACACAAGAAUAG